UUAAUACUCCCUCCGUUCCGAAUUACUUGUCUUAGAUUUGUCUAGAUACGGAUGUAUCUAGCACUAAAAUAAGUCUAGAUACAUCUGUAUCUAGACAAAUCCAAGACAAGUAAUUCAGAACGGAGAGAGUAUAAG
rfam:Triticum aestivum genome assembly, contig: Triticum_aestivum_CS42_TGACv1_scaffold_577056_7BL